rnacentral:rRNA from 1 species
GAUCCUGGCUCAGGACGAACGCUGGCGGCGUGCCUAAUACAUGCAAGUCGAGCGGACCGACGGGAGCUUGCUCUCUUAGGUCAGCGGCGGACGGGUGAGUAACACGUGGGUAACCUGCCUGUAAGACUGGGAUAACUCCGGGAAACCGGGGCUAAUACCGGAUGCUUGAUUGAACCGCAUGGUUCCAAUCAUAAAAGGUGGCUUUCAGCUACCACUUACAGAUGGACCCGCGGCGCAUUAGCUAGUUGGUGAGGUAACGGCUCACCAAGGCGACGAUGCGUAGCCGACCUGAGAGGGUGAUCGGCCACACUGGGACUGAGACACGGCCCAGACCCCUACGGGAGGCAGCAGUAGGGAAUCUUCCGCAAUGGACGAAAGUCUGACGGAGCAACGCCGCGUGAGUGAUGAAGGUUUUCGGAUCGUAAAACUCUGUUGUUAGGGAAGAACAAGUACCGUUCGAAUAGGGCGGUACCUUGACGGUACCUAACCAGAAAGCCACGGCUAACUACGUGCCAGCAGCCGCGGUAAUACGUAGGUGGCAAGCGUUGUCCGGAAUUAUUGGGCGUAAAGCGCGCGCAGGCGGUUUCUUAAGUCUGAUGUGAAAGCCCCCGGCUCAACCGGGGAGGGUCAUUGGAAACUGGGGAACUUGAGUGCAGAAGAG